rnacentral:lncRNA from 1 species
ACGACUAAAUACAAUGUGGACAAAAGAGGCAAUCAGGUAAAAAACGUGUGUGUGUGUGUGUGUGUGUGUAUUUAUUUAUUCUCCAUUUAACAAUUAACAAUUACAUAGGGCCACUACGUACUGGACUCUAGUAAAUGGAGUACAAUGCUGUCGCUGUUGGAUAGACAGUGGCCCUCCCCUCACAGAGUAGACAGUUUAGUGAGGGGAGAAACAAGCAAAAACUACACAAUAUUUUAAUCAAACUUUGUUUUUAUUGAAGUAUAGUUGAUUUACAAUGUUGUGUUGAUUUCUGCUGUACAGCAAAGUGAUAUAUAUACAUACAUAUAUUUUUUUCCAUUAUGAUGUAUCGCAGGACAUUGGAUAUAGUUCUCUGUGCUGUACAGUAGGACCUUGCUGUUUUUCCCCCUCCAUGUAUAAUAUGUUGUAUCUGCCCACCCCAACCUCCCACUCCAUCUCUUCCUUAACCCCUUGGCAACAAGAAGUCUGUUCCUCUUGUCUGUAGCUCCAUUUCUGUUUUGUAGGUAGGUUCAUUUGUUUCAUAUUUUGUAUUCCAGAUAUAAGGGAUAUCAUACGUUAUUUGUCUUUCUGACUUACUUCGCUUAAUAUGAUAACCUCUAGUUGCAUGCAUGUUGCUGCAAAUGGCAUUAUUUCAUUCUUUUUUAUAAGCUGAGUUGUAGUCCACUGUACAUAUGUACCACAUCUUUAUCCAUUCAUCUGGUGGGUUUUUUGUUGUUGUUUCACCGCAGUAUAGUUAAUUUACAAUGUUGUGAUAUUUUCUACUGUACAACAAAGUGAUUCAGUUAUACAUAUACACACAUCCAUUCUUUUUCAGAAACUUUUCCCAUAUAGAUUGUCACAGAAUAUUGGGUAGCAUUCCCUGUGCUAUAUAGCAGGCACCAAUUGGCCAAUCAUUCCACAUACCACUGUAUGCAUAUACCAAUCCCAAACCUCCAUUCCACCCCUCUCCCCACCUGUCCACUUGGUAACCAUAAGUUUGUUUUCAAAAUCUCUGAAUCUGUUUCUGUUCUGCAAAUAAAUUCAUUGUAUCUAUCUAUUCAUCUCUUGAUAGGUUGUUUCCAUGUCUUAGCUAUUGACACAUGCAGUUAAUUAUAGCAUUUACAAGUAAUGCACAGAAAAAGUAUAGGGUGUUAUGAUUAUGAACAAGAAGAGGAAUCCAAUCUAUCCUCAGGGAUUUUCAAAGGCUUUUUCUAAGGAAUUUAUGCUUGGGCUAAGACUGAAAGUACAAUUAUGAGUUGGCCUGGUGAGGAGAAGGAGAUUGGACUCCCAAAGAGAAGACCAGUUUUAAGGCUCUCACAAUAACCCAGGAGAUGAUAUAGUUUGAAUUGUAUCAAUAGAAGAAAGAGAGGAUGUGACAUAUUAGAGACAGACGUUUUAAAUGACUAUUAGAAUGUUUGGGGAUGAAUACUAGCUUAAGGGGUUGGAUUUAAUAACAGCAUAAGCUGAUGUGAGAAAAGAACAUCUUUGAGUGACAAGCUGACGGAUGAUUGUUUUGGACAGGUAUUCGAUUAAGGUAAGGCUUUUUUCUCUCAAAAAGGUACUUUCUGCCUCUAUACUAUUUCAGUUCACCUGUUCUCUUCCUCCACUUCUUCCUCCUUUUUUUAUUAUGUAUUAAGAACAAAUAAGGUACAGCUUAAAUAUAUUUUGAUAAUUCAUUUUCAUCAGAGCCUCAAAGUUAAUCUCCCCUGAUAAAAUACUUAGGAAAAAUUUUACUGAGGAGGUGAAAGAUCUGUACACUGAAAACUAUGACAGCAAUGAAAGAAAUUGAAGACACAGAUGAAUGGAAAGAUAUCCCAUGUUCAUGGAUUGAAGGGAUUAAUAUUGCUUAAAAUGUCCAUACUACCUAAAGCUAUCUAAAGAAUUGAUGCAGGAGGGAGUUCCCAUCAUGGCUCAGUGGUUAAUGAACCCAACUAGUAUCCAUGAGUAUGUGGGUUCGAUCCCUGGCCUUGCUCAGUAGGUUAAGGAUCUGGCACUGUUGUGACCUGUGGUGUAGGCCAAAGACAGCUCUGAUGCUACAUUGCUGUGGCUAUGGCAUAGGUCAGCAGCUAUAGCUCCAAUUUGACCCCUAGCCUGGGAACCUCCAUAUGCUGUGGGUGCAGCCCUAAAAAGACAAAAACCACACACACACACACACACAAAGAAUUGAUGCAAUCCCUAACAAGAUUCCAAUAGCAUUUUUUACAGAAAUCCAAAAAAUAUAUAUAUCCUGAAGUUCAUUUCAUGGCACAAUGGUAACAAACCAACUAGUAUCUAAAAAGGACAUGGCUUGGAUCCCUGGCCUCACUCAGUGGGUUAAAGAUCCAGUGUUGCCAUGAGCUGUGGUCUAGGUGGCAGAUGCGGCUUAGAUCUUGCAUUGCUGUGGCUGUGGUGUAGGCUGGCAGCUUCAGCUCUAAUUCAACCCCUAGUUUAGGAACUUUCAUAUGCUACAGGUAUGGCCCUAAAAAGGCAAAAAAAAAAAAAAAAAAAAUCCUAAAAGUCAUAUGGAACCACGAAAGACACUGAAUAGCCAAAGCAAUCCUAAAUAAGAAGAGCAAAGCUGGAAAUAUCACAGUCCUAAUUUUAAACUAUAUUACAAAGCUAUAGUAAUCAAAACAGUAUGAUACUAUCUAAAAGCAGACACAUGGACCAAUGGAACAAAAUCAAGAGCCCAGAAGUAAACCCACACCUAAACAGUCAACUAAUAUUUGACGAGACAGCCAAGAAUGCUCAGUGGAUAAAAGACAGUCUCUUCAAUAAAUGGUACGGAGAAGAUUGGAUAAAACUAGAUUCCUGUAUUACUCCACUCACAAAAAUUAAGUUGAAAUGGAUUAAAGACUUGUAUGAAAGAUCUGAAAUCAUAAAACUCCUAGAAGAAAACAAAGGGGAAAAUCUCCUUGAUGAGAGUCUUGGCAAUAAUUUUUUUAGACAUGACACCUAAAGCAAAGGCAACAAAAACAACAACAGACAGGUGGGACUACAUCAAACUAAAAAGCUUCUGUACAGCAAAAGGAGUGAUUGACAAAAUGAAAAGCCAACCAGUGGUAUGAAACAAAAUACUUGCAAAUCAUACAUUAGAUAAGUGGUUAAUACCCAAAAUAUAUAAAGAACCAAUACAACUCAAUAGCAAGAAAAUAAAAAAUCCCAAAUAAAAAGUGGGCAAAUGACCUGAAUAGGCAUUUUUCCAAAGAAGGUACUCAAAUGGCCAACAGGUUUGUGAAAAGUUGCUCAACAUCACUAAUCAUUAGGGAAAUGCAGAUCAAAAGCACUAUGAGAGAUAACUCACACCUGUUAGAAUUGCUGAUGUCAAAAACACAAGAAGUAACAAGUUCUGGCAAGGAUGCGGAGAAAAGGAAAUCCUGGUACACUGUUGGUGGGUGUGUAAAUUUGUAUAGCCACUAUGGAAAACAGCGUGGAAUUUCCUCAAAAGAAUUAAAAAUAAAAUUAUCAUAUGAUCCAGCAAUGCCAUUUUUGGGUAUAUAUCUGAAGGGAAGGAAAUCACCAUCCCUGGACUUCUCGUUGUGGCUCAGCAGAAAUGAAUCUGACUCGUAAGCAUGAGGUUGCUGGUUUGAUCCCUGACCUUGCUCAGUGGGUUAAGGAUCCAGCAUUGCCAUGAGCUGUGGUGUAGGUUACAAACGUGGCUCCGAUGCUGCAUUGCUGUGGCUGUGGUGUAGGCCGGUGGCUACAGCUCCACUUAGAUUGCUAGCCUGGGAACUUCCAUAUACU